GAACGAGUUGAUGAUUUGGAUUAUGUUUCCCUAUUGGUUUGAUAGCCAUUGUGAUGGCAUAUCUAUGCACUAGCUCUUUCUGAUCAUUC